UAUGACGGGUAUCCGGCCUGAGAGGGUGAUCGGACACACUGGAACUGCGACACGGUCCAGACUCCUACGGGAGGCAGCAGUAGGGAAUAUUGCUCAAUGGGGGAAACCCUGAAGCAGCAACGCCGCGUGGAGGAUGAAGGUUUUAGGAUUGUAAACUCCUUUUGUGAGAGAAGAUUAUGACGGUAUCUCACGAAUAAGCACCGGCUAACUCCGUGCCAGCAGCCGCGGUAAUACGGAGGGUGCAAGCGUUACUCGGAAUCACUGGGCGUAAAGAGUGCGUAGGCGGGAAGGUAAGUCAGAUGUGAAAUCCUAUGGCUUAACCAUAGAACUGCAUUUGAAACUACUUUUCUAGAGUGUGGGAGAGGUAGGUGGAAU
rnacentral:rRNA from 1 species